rnacentral:rRNA from 1 species
AUUGAACGCUGGCGGCAUGCUUUACACAUGCAAGUCGAACGGCAGCGCGGGCUUCGGCCUGGCGGCGAGUGGCGAACGGGUGAGUAAUACAUCGGAACGUGCCCAGUAGUGGGGGAUGGCUCGGCGAAAGCCGGAUUAAUACCGCAUACGACCUGAGGGUGAAAGCGGGGGAUCUUCGGACCUCGCGCUAUUGGAGCGGCCGAUGGCAGAUUAGCUAGUUGGUGGGGUAAAGGCCUACCAAGGCGACGAUCUGUAGCUGGUCUGAGAGGACGACCAGCCACACUGGGACUGAGACACGGCCCAGACUCCUACGGGAGGCAGCAGUGGGGAAUUUUGGACAAUGGGCGAAAGCCUGAUCCAGCAAUGCCGCGUGUGUGAUGAAGGCCUUCGGGUUGUAAAGCACUUUUGGCGGGAACGAAAAGGACUGUGCCAAUACCACGGUUCGAUGACGGUACCCGCAGAAUAAGCACCGGCUAACUACGUG